GACGAACGCUGGCGGCGUGCUUAACACAUGCAAGUCGAACGGCAGCACGGGAGCUUGCUCCGGUGGAUUAGUGGCGAACGGGUGAGUAACACGUGAGCAAUCUGCCCUUGACUCUGGGAUAACUGCGGGAAACUGUAGCUAAUACCGGAUACGACACCUUGGGGCAUCCCAGGGUGUGGAAAGAAUUUCGGUCAAGGAUGAGCUCGCGGCCUAUCAGCUAGUCGGUGAGGUAAUGGCUCACCAAGGCGACGACGGGUAGCCGGCCUGAGAGGGUGACCGGCCACACUGGAACUGAGACACGGUCCAGACUCCUACGGGAGGCAGCAGUGGGGAAUAUUGCACAAUGGGCGAAAGCCUGAUGCAGCAACGCCGCGUGAGGGAUGAAGGCCUUCGGGUUGUAAACCUCUUUUAGCAGGGAAGAAGCGAAAGUGACGGUACCUGCAGAAAAAGCACCGGCUAACUACGUGCCAGCAGCCGCGGUAA
rnacentral:rRNA from 1 species